rnacentral:rRNA from 1 species
UUCCGGUUGAUCCUGCCGGACCUCACUGCUAUCGGGGUGGGACUUAGACAUGCGAGUCGCAUGAGUGAAGCGUGGCGAACGGCUCAGUAACACGUGGCUAACCUACCCUUGAGACGGAGACAACCCCGGGAAACUGGGGCUAAUCCCAGAUAGACGAGAACUCCUGGAAUGGGUUUUCGUCCAAAAGGUUUAACGCUCAAGGAUGGGGCCGCGGCCGAUCAGGCUGUUGGUGAGGCAACGGCUCACCAAACCUAUAAUCGGUACGGGCCGUGGGAGCGGGAGCCCGGAGAUGGGAACUGAGACAAGGUCCCAGGCCCUACGGGGCGCAGCGGUUACGAAAACUUGUCAAUGCACGAAAGUGUGAACGGGCUACCCCGAGUGCCGUCCGCUGAGGAUGGCUUUUACCCAGUGUAGAAAGCUGGGGGAAUAAGGAGAGGGCAAGAUCUGGUGUCAGCCGCCGCGGUAAUACCAGCUCUCCGAGUGGUGUGGAUGUUUAUUGGGCCUAAAGCAUCCGUAGCUGGCUGGACAAGUCCCCUGUUAAAUCCACCGAUUUAAUCGUUGGUGUGCGGGGGAUACUGUUCGGCUAGGGGACGGGAGAGGCCGACGGUAUUUUCGGGGUAGGGGUGAAAUCCUAUAAUCCCGGAAGGACCACCAGUGGCGAAGGCUGUCGGCUAGAACGCGCCCGACGGUGAGGGAUGAAAGCUGGGGGAGCGAACCGGAUUAGAUACCCGGGUAGUCCCAGCUGUAAACGAUGCAGGCUAGGUGUUUGGGCGGCCACGUGCCGCUCUAGUGCCGCAAGGAAGCUGUUAAGCCUGCCGCCUGGGGAGUACGGCCGCAAGGCUGAAACUUAAAGGAAUUGGCGGGGGAGCACCACAAGGGGUGAAGCUUGCGGUUUAAUUGGAUUCAACGCCGGA